UACGUAGGGGGCGAGCGUUGUCCGAAGUUACUGGGCGUAAAGAGCGCGUAGGCGGACCCUUAAGUGAGAGGUGAAAGGUUCAGGGCUCAACCCGAACACUGCCUUUCAUACUGGGGGCCUUGAGUGCGGGAGAGGCGAGUGGAAUGGUCGGUGUAGCGGUGAAAUGCGUAGAUAUCGAUCGGAACACCCAUGGCGAAGGCAGCUCGCUGGCCUGCAACUGACGCUGAGGCGCGAAAGCGUGGGGAGCAAACAGG
rnacentral:rRNA from 1 species